rnacentral:lncRNA from 1 species
AUGAGAGUUAGAAACACAUUGACCAGAAUUCCAAGGAGACCACGUUUGAACCAGGGGAUACAGAUUUCGACUUGUUACAGUCACCACUAGAGGCACAGGAGUUACCCGGCUUGUAUCAGCAGGGCCUGCUGAGAAGGGGACCCUGCUGUGCCAAAGACUGUGCAGAGAGACAGAGGAUUUCUGUUCCCAAGAGCUUAUAAUUAGCAACAUUCACACAUACAUUGAGCAGAACACCAGUCCUCUCAGCCACAGACAUCAGAGAACUCCAAAAAAUGGUGUGGAGUGUGUCUAUCAGAGUCCAAAGUCUUUGGCUUACCUGGAGUAAACAAGUGCCCACAACAGGGUGGUUAUUGCCCAAAGCAAUACUUCCCAAACCAGUGCAGAUUGUAGGAGCAUCCAGUUGUUGCUGCGUGCUCAGUGCUGGGAUCUCUGCUCCAGAAAUAUCUGGGAAAAGGUCUGUUCUUGUCUUGCUCUGUGGCCUCAGGCAGGUUAGUUGUACAUCUCU